GCCUGGGUGGCUCAGUUGGUUGAGCCUCUGACUUUGGCUCGGGUCAUGAUCUCGCAGUUUGUGAGUUCGAGUCCCGCGUCAGGCU
rnacentral:tRNA from 1 species